AACGCGAAGAACCUUACCUGGUCUUGACAUCCACGGAAGUUUUCAGAGAUGAGAAUGUGCCUUCGGGAACCGUGAGACAGGUGCUGCAUGGCUGUCGUCAGCUCGUGUUGUGAAAUGUUGGGUUAAGUCCCGCAACGAGCGCAACCCUUAUCCUUUGUUGCCAGCGGUCCGGCCGGGAACUCAAAGGAGACUACCAGUGAUAAACUGGAGGAAGGUGGGGAUGACGUCAAGUCAUCAUGGCCCUUACGACCAGGGCUACACACGUGCUACAAUGGCGCAUACAAAGAGAAGCGACCUCGCGAGAGCAAGCGGACCUCAUAAAGUGCGUCGUAGUCCGGAUUGGAGUCUGCAACUUGACUCCAUGAAGUCGGAAUCGCUAGUAAUCGUGGAUCAGAAUGCCACGGUGAAUACGUUCCCGGGUCUUGUACACACGC
rnacentral:rRNA from 1 species